rnacentral:lncRNA from 1 species
UAUCAUCAACAUCGUGCACAGUGUUUUUUUUGAGUGGAAUCAUGCACAGUAUCAAACUAUAAAUUCUUUGGUGUGUGGUUAUGUCAUGCGGUUUCCAGCUUGACAUCAAAGAAAGUAUUUGGGGAAGGAGGACCCACAUACUUUCUCGGCAAGCAUGAAACAUUAGGAACUUGUUUGGUGUGAUAGGGUCUCAAAGUUCCCAAAGGAUGCUA